AUCUAGCUGACGAGUCCCAAACAGGACUAAAACGCGGUUUCUAGAU
rnacentral:hammerhead_ribozyme from 1 species